AACGAACGCUGGCGGCAUGCCUAACACAUGCAAGUCGAGCGCCCGUAGCGAUACGGGAGCGACGCACGGGUGAGUAACGCGUGGGAACCUGCCCUUAGGUUCGGGACAACCGCGGGAAACUGCGGCUGAUACCGGAUGAAGUCCCCGAUAGAGAUAUUGGGGCCCAAAGAUUUAUCGCCUUUGGAGGGGCCCGCGUCGGAUUAGGUAGUUGGUGGGGUAACGGCUCACCAAGCCUGUGCUCCGUAGCUGGUCUGAGAGGAUGAUCAGCCACACUGGGACUGAGACACGGCCCAGACUCCUACGGGAGGCAGCAGUGGGGAGUAUUGGACAAUGGGGGCAACCCUGAUCCAGCAAUGCCGCGUGGGUGAUGAAGGCCUUCGGGUUGUAAAGCCCUUUCGGCGGGGACGAUGAUGACGGUACCCGCAGAAGAAGCCCCGGCUAACUUCGUGCCAGCAGCCGCCGCAGUAA
rnacentral:rRNA from 1 species